rnacentral:pre_miRNA from 1 species
UUUCCUUGCCCUCGAGGAGCUCACAGUCUAGUACGUCUCAUCCCCUACUAGACUGAAGCUCCUUGAGGACAGGGAUCGUCCUACUCACCUC